AGUAGGACGGGCUCGUGUACUACAGUACUCACAUUGUAGUAGAAUGCUGCGCCUCUCUCUAUUUACACACAAAAAAAUAAAAAAUAAAAACACAGGCUCAAUUCCCUGCAGUAAUAUCAUCAGAAAUAGGCCUACAUCCAAAUUUAACUUUGAUGAACCGUGGCAUUGACAGGAGGACUUGAGGAAAUAAACAGAAGUACGGGGUAAUUAACAGUGCGAUGCGGCUCAAGGCUCCUCGGCAGCAGCCCCUGCAACCAAAGCUGAUUUACAAGAGUUAUUAGCAGUUUUUGCAUCUAGCUUUGACGAAAAAUUGAGCAAAACGAGGUCUGAGUUUGUAAAGCAAGGCAGUCUCUGGCCGAGAAGAUGAAAGACACCACAAAGACAAAGUGGCGGAGGGAAGGAAAUCAGCAGCAGUACCAGUUUAAUCAGCAAGUGUCAGCUAAGUCUUCCUCGUUGGUUCUGUUAUUUUUAGGCCUACUCACAUGGUAUCAAAAUAGUUGAAAAUAGUUUAUUUGUCCAGUUUUAACACCACAUCUUCUUUAACCUUCACUUAAGUUCCAUUGUUGGGCCGGUGGGAGGUCCCACCGGCGCCCAAAUACACUGUCAGAACCCAUGAAGUGUGUUCAAGUUGUGAUUUUGUAUUAGAUGUCCGAGUUUUCAUAGAAAACUGGUUAGGGAAGAAAUUCAAAUAUGUUCGUUUGAACGACCAGGUGUGAAUUAGAACGUAUUUAUUUUCUUCACGGUGCAUGGAUUUCUAUGGGUAUUGUUAGGUGUUACGUAAGGGUGUAGCUGGGUGAGUGGUGUGAUCCACGGGUGUGUCAUUCACGUCAGUCCCGGCACUGGGACAACAUCCUAAAAAUAACAAAUGGGAAUCUAAGGUUAAUGUUGGAUUGUUUAUUUGGUUGUCUUUCCUCAUGUAGAGAGAUCAAGGAUUUGAUCGCCUCUGCCCUAGAAGACGUUCAAGAAGAGUCUGGAGUGAAGGCUACUCUGAAGAAAGCCGAGAAGCUACUGGACAAUAGGCAGAAACUGAUUUGUAUCGCUGACACAAGUCCGUACGGUUGUCAUCAACUACACCCCUGCCAAGCCAUUCAGCAGGAUCAAUCUGGCACAGCUGUCUCCGAUGGGACAUAUCAUCAAGUUCAUUGUCACAUAUCAAACGGCUUUUUGGAGGGAGGAUGGUUUUUCUGGUGAAAUUGUCAGCAAUGGGAGUAAACCAACUAUUGAAGGUCUCAGCUCAGGCCCUCUCCAACUCACCUACGAUUGCACGACAUCCAACGGCAACCCUGCCAUUGUUGGAUUCUAUGCCAACAGUAGAGAGUGGAGUCACAUUGAAGUAAAUGGAAGCAUUUUUUUUCUUCCUCAAAAACAGCCCCAACCAGAAAGCAAGCUGUUUUGGACUCCUUAGCCGAGUUCCUUGGGCCAAAGGCAAGAGACCCACUGGACUACUGUGAAAAGGACUGGGCACUGGAGUCUGACAAUGGUGGCUGCCCUGUCAAUAUUAUGACACCAGGAGCAAUGACCUUUCACAGUGGGCUCAGGACUCCAUUUUUCAGGGUGCAUUGGGCUGGAACAGAAACAGCCACACACCACACGGGUUUCAUAAAUGGCGCAGUGCAGUCCGGGAUGCGGGCAGUGGACGAGGUCCUAAGACGUCUUGAACCUCACCGCCAAGCGGAUUGGUUACUGAUUUGUUACUGAUGUCUCGACAACCAGAGGAAAACUCAUUGGUACGGUGAAGAGGUUGGAAAAUGGAAGCGGCGAUUGUUCAUUGGGGGCGCCAUUGGAGUGGCUGUAGUCACCGCACUUACGGUGAAAAGAUGGGGCCUCAAAGGGACUGCUACUUAUAUUCUGAGUGCAUUCCAAGCUUGAAAUAGUUACGGGACUUGAGAAUUCCAAACACAGUACCACAAAUCACCAGGAGCUGCCGAGGUUGCUGAUUGGCCUAUCUGAGGAGAGUUACAUCAGAGUCCACUCUUGACUCCAUUUGCACAGAGUGUGUCAAGAACUGCAGUGUACAGUAUGUAUGAGGCAAAGGUCUUGCUUCAUACAAGCAAGAUGGGAAAUGGAAAUAAGUAACCCCCAAGAAAAAUUCACUUUAUUGCGAGGAAUACGAGGUAAUUACAGAGCCAGUGAUGUUUUAAGUUGUGUUCUUUGUCAAACGCCAAACUAUGUGUAAUUUUGCAUUAAAUUUCUUGUUCUGCAGUGACUCUCAAAAUAUCACAAAAAUGGCAGGUAUCCCAAAUUAGACUCUUCUUUUUGUCCAA